rnacentral:lncRNA from 1 species
GGGGUAAAAACAUAAAUUUCACUAAAUAAACAUCAAGAUGAUGUGAAGAACUAUAAGCAAAACUUUAAAGACUACAAAAAGCCUUUGCUUUUAUUAUCUACUCAAACCAACAAAACAAUACCUUAAAAAACAUCAUACCCUAAAACCCUAUAAACCCCUCGGAAUUCACAAGUUCCGAGGAGAUGUUUCGGUUGAACUAUUGGUGUUGGAAUCGCUGCCAACGGACCCGUUUGUGUCAACAUUUGAAGAAACGAUCGGGAUUUUAACCGCAGCUCUUUCCAUCUCCUUUUCAAGUUCUUCCUCCCGCCUCAACGCGGUGAACUGCGUGUCCAGUGACUUGGCGGCACCUAACCACGCCAGCACGAUCACCAGGAGUAUGCCACCAAGGUACGGUGUUGAAUUUGCAAGUGAACCGAACGUUAAGAUCAUGAAUUGUUGAAUUAGAGCUCCACCCGAUUUCCCUAAGGGGUUGCACACGACGUCUAUUGCCGCCUUGCCUUUAACCUACAUUUAAAUAAAAGUUCAUAUAGGCUCGCGAUAUUUACAUAAAAACAUAUAUUAGUGAUAUAUAAUAUUAGAGUGAAGUACACAAGAUGGUUCUUGUGGUUUAAUAUACAUAAUUAAGAUGAAAAUUAACUACAUAACAUAUAAAGGCAAAUUGUAUAUUUGUAUACAAACAUAACUAUAUAUUUGUAUAAAUAAAUUAAUUAAUUAAUAAUCAACAAGUUAGGCUCGAGCCUAAAAACUCACACAAGCCGUGCUCGAGCUUUGGAUAUAGAGUUAGAGCUUAGGCAGAAUAAGGGUAUAUAAGUAAUUUCACACCGUCUUUUAACAAGCAGUUUCGUUAAGCUAAUAUCAAACUAAUUAUUCGACCACUAAACGAUCAUUAAAAAUGUUUUAGAAACUAAAUAAAGUAAGAAACCGAACCUUGGUGUCUUCAUCCAAUGGAAUAUACGCCAUUUCUUUGCAAGGAUCAAACAAACUAUAUUUUGCACUUUUGCUAAAUAUAUUUUGCAUUGCACCAACAUAGACCGCGGCUAGAAGUGGGGUCAUCCCGAACUUCAUAAGGCCGGGGCCAAGUGGGUCGCCAAACAAGAUCAAAGAAAAGAACCCAACGCCGGUUAGAAGUAGGACCGUCGGUGUGAUUUUAGCGGCUACGCCCCAACCAUAUUUGUUGAAUAUCCAUUGACUUAAAAGCAUCAUUGUAAAUGUUGCAAUUCCGGUUGCGGUUGAAAAGUCGCCCAUGAAUGAAGAAUAUUCAUUCGGGCUAGGAAACUGUAU